AUGAGUCUUAAUUGCCUUACCUGUGGCCAUAUUCUUAAAAGAGAUAACUCCGAUAGAGAGCAUAAUUACCCAGAAAUCGAUAAAUCUUAUACUAAAAAAGCAAGACUAUACGUUGAUAGAAGUUGGUCAGGGAAUAUAGCUCCACCACCGCAACGCGAAGGUGGCAGCGGUGUUGUGGCGGAUAAUAUUAAACCGGAAUUCCGUCGUGCCAAUAGUGCUGGAAAUGCUGGGCCAAGAUUGUUAAGGAGCAGUGGAAUGAGAAGAGAUUGGCGUUUGGAAGAGUUGAUUGGACAACAAGAAAAUGGAGUUAGAUGUUAA